AUUAUUUCCUUAUUUCUGUUAACUAUCGAGUUUUGAGUCUUUAGUCAGCCGCAUGUGAGACUCUGCCGUCGAAUUGGCAUCCGUUGUCCGCACGUGAGAACCAUGCGACGGCAACGGGCAACGGCAAUACGCCACGACAAAAAAGCCUUCAAGCGGUGGAAACAGGAGUCACUGACAGGACAGCUGGCAGUCUCACUGGAAUGUCGAGAAAAAUGAUGAUUUUUUAUUUACAGAAAUUAUAAGAAUUACAUUCCUCUAUUCUUUUCACUUUCUUCUUCGUGUCCAGCUUAUAAAAUUGCUGCACUACCGCUCGAUCAACAGUUUAAUGGCGGAUAGGUGUUGACCGAAGGAGGAGGGACGGAGGGGUCAACCCUGCCUCCUCUUUUCCGGGCUGAGAGGCCCCUUCCCCACGUUGGUAGAUUCCCCACAGUUUCAUCUGGGCAUAAAAUUUCUCUGUUUUCACGUUAACGUGACGCCAUCCACUCACAAUUUUGUAGAAGAACGAUACAAACGCAGGCCAAUAAUUCAGCGUGUCAGUCGCUGCCACCUCCUCUCUCUCUCUCUCUCUCCAUCAAUCAAUCAAGUCAUAGCAAACGAGGAAGAAGGAGAAAAUUAACCCUGGGAAACAGCACCGGUGAGGUGGAAUUGCAGAGCACAAGAACACAUUCCUUUCUCCAAGUGAGGCCUCAUCCCCUCACUCCCUUUACAGGGAGAAAUAUACACAGCAAGGGUAAAAGAAACCUCUGAUCUAUGAUCUCUCUCUCUCAAAAUGUACAAGUUUCCUCUCAGAUCCUUCCUCGCUGCUUGUGGGUGGGAUUGACAGAAAGAAGGACACGAACAGGGGAACCUCAUGGGUAGUCUCGCCAGCAGAUGAGCAUGGUGACACAGCGGCGCAUGAUGUAGAACCUGGCUCUCUGCUCCUUGACCAGGCUGGCGAACCGGCUGGAGAAAGAGCCCGGUGCGGCCGUCCUCCUCAUCUGCCUCGUGCUCGCCGAUCCCUUCAGGAAGGGUCCAGCUCCCUCUACUCCCAUGAUUCUUCUGCUCGCGUUGCAGCUCCUGCUCCCCUUCUUCGACAGCUUCCACUUCUCCUCCAUGAACAGCUCCAUCUCCUUCCUCUCCUGCUGUUCCUCUGCUAGAUCGACGAAGAGCUGGAGAGAGAGAGAGUGUGUGUGUGAGUGAGCCUCCGGGGAGUUGGCUGUGUGGCGGUCCAGUAUUUAUAGAGGACACGGGAAAGGGCCAAAGGCGGAUGUAUGUGAAACGGCCAUAGAGAGGAUUGAGUGGUGGAGGACGAUGGGUAACAUUUUGGGUCAAUCUCGUAAAGUUCUUUGCGAGGGGACAUUAUCUUUACCUAAACAACUAUUUAAACGUCAUUAUCAAACUGUUAAUGCUUGCUCUGAACACCAACGUACCCAUCGUAUCACUCGUGACGUGGCACAGUUUUUAUAUCUCACAAUGGCUGUGGGUCCCAAGCAAGGGUUACGAUCCGCCUAUCACUGGUCGGGUCCGAAGAAUUUAGAUGGAAGAGUUGAUAGAUUCCCAUCAAAUUUGCAAUCGGAGAGGAUGCUGAGAAAUCAAUUCCGAUUGAUUGAUGCAUUUAUCAAUUAAGUCCUUAAUAUGUGCAUAUUUUGCUCUUUCAACUCAUAGGAGACUUGUAUUAAAAAUAUAUAUCAAAUUACUACAUAAACUUUUGAAUACAUAAGAGAAAAUAGAAGCUAAAAAUCUACGAGCAAGCAAAAAUAGUUUGAUCAGAAGAUAAAACAUGUUAAUUCGUUUUACAAUUGACUAAUAUAUUAUUUUUUUAUAAAAAGUGACCAGUUUAUCUAUUUUUACUAAUAAAAUAUAUAUAUAUAUAUAUAUAUAUAUAUAUUAAUGUAGACAUGAUUGUAUCUUUCUUACAAGAAUAAAAGUUGUGUAUCGAUGUGAUGAUGGGCGAAACUAAACCACCAAUUUAUUCAACCUUAAUCGAGAUUAUUGACCACACACUCUCUGAAAGGAAGCUUACAAAAUAAUAAAAAAUAAAAGGAUCACAGGUUUUUGUUUUUCUUCUCUUUUGUAGAGUUUUUUUUUUUAUAAUGUGUAAUAUAUAUAUAUAUAUAUAUAUCAUUUUUUAUGUGAGCAUGAGUAUCCAUGAUGACUUGCCUUUAAUGAGAUCGAGAUGAGAGACUAAAUAACAAUGGGAUGGGAUGUGAUGAGAAUAAAGGAUUUUUUUUAUUACAUUAUGGGAUGGGAGCGAGGAUAAUAUAUAUGGAUCGACAUGUUGGACCAAACACUGAUCAAAUCAAUUGUCUACUUGAUUCAAAUCAAGAUUGAGUCUUAGUCGAGUCAAUUGAGAGUAAUUUAGUUUGAUUGAAGAAGAUGAUACAACCUCAACAAAUAUUAUUAUUUAUAUUCAGAUAUAUUUUAUAUUUUAAAUAUUAUUAUAUUUAUACAAUUUUUAUAAAAAUAUUAUUAUUAUUUAGAAAUCUCAAUAUUAUUAAUUAGUUUGAUAAUAAUUUAAUUUUUUUAAAAUAAAUAAAUUAGUUUAAAAAAUAUAUAAAAAGAUACUCAUCAUUUCGCCUUGAAUUCUAUAAUUCUCUUAAAUCUAUCUCAAGCUAAAUUUAAAGCACUCUUAACUCUCAACAAUAUCUUUUUGAUGUUCAAGUAAAUUAAUUGGAUAAAUCAAAUAUUUUUUUUAGUUUUUGUUAUAUCUAUCAGAGACGUACCUAUUAAAAUUUUCUUAUAACGGAUUUUUAGGACCGUUAUCUUUCGAUGAUAACAAUCUCGAGUAUAACUGCCACCGAUCCGUAUCGAGUCUAAGAUGGUAUAAUGGUUUGACAGAUGGCAUGCAUCAGCGGAUCACUCACGCGUUAUACCGAGGUGAUGAUCAUAAGAUGCCGAGAUGUUGACUAUGUCGGUCUACAUUUAUCACCCGUGUGAGUGAGUGUGUGUGGUGGAAUUCUCGAGUAACGUGGACGAGGCCGGCUGAUGAUGAACAAGGCCGUGGCCACCGCAAGAAAACAAGCACGCAUUAAUAAUGUAAUCUAUGACAGCUUGCUGAAGUGGACGUCCAACAUUAUGAUUAUGCAAUAAUGUUAUCAAGAACAAUUCAUAAUUUGGCUCCACUCGCCCGAUCCCAAACUCCUGCUACCAUCACGACGCACAAAGUCCGCACACACCCCACACACGUGUGCAGUGCAUUAUUCGAUCCACACAAGUCAUUCGUGCCGACGUACGUAUUCGACCGCGUAAAGGUCGUGUGGCCCCCACCCACCUAAGAUUCUUCGCUCCAUUAUUAUUAUUAUUAUUAUUAUUAUUUAGAUAUAAUAAUAAUAAUAAUAAUAAUAACGACGAUAAAUAUCAUCCGAUGUGGCCGGCCCAAAGGCAUUUUAUAAAGCCCAAUGGGCCAGGCCUUAGGAUCGCCCUUUUAUCCAUUCAACUGCCGCGUGGUUACUUUCCGUAAUUGCGCGCCCGAAGAUAAGGCGGUAGGUGGUGGUGGUGGUGUUGACACCGCUUCGGUGGCGACGAUAUGCUGAUGCGCGCCUACUUCCUCUCCGCCCCUCCCAAGUUCUCUCAGAAGCCCACUCCUCUUUCGUCAUCUCGCUUCCCCAGGAGCGCAAGCGCGAGGAAGAGAGCCGUAACACUCGCCACUUCUGCGGCCAUGGCCGACGGUCCCGCCCCCGUCGUCCUCGUAACUGGAGCCGGUGGCAGAACAGGUUCUCUCUCUCUCUCUCUCUCUUUCUGAGUCACUAUUCCCUUUCAUACUUCGGUUGUAAUCCGACCUUCCCUUCGGCAUGCCGAUUUUAAGUUCUUGUUAAUUCUAGUGAAGGAUGGUGGGGAAAUGUCCUGUUAGGACUUGCUGAAUCUUGAUUAGUUUUAGAGCACCGGAUGUGUUAUUGGAGACGCGGAUGACAUUCUUGAAGGAACUCGCCUGCGUGCAAAAUCGUCAUCCAGGAGUUGGAUUAGGGUUAGAAGAACGCGAGAGGGGCAAUGGGGCUUUAACUACGUCUGACAUGAUGAGAAGAAUAGGAUGACGUUGAUUCAUGGGAUUUUAAUCAUUAAAUAUGAAUCAGAUGGAUAGCAUGAUCCGUCUCCGUCAAUGAUCGGCUCUGGUUUCUGUCUUUGUGAAUGAUGCUUCUUGAAGUUUGUGGUGGAGCAAGCAAGAGAUGCGAGGCAGGGGAAUGCAAUUUCCCAAUGAAUGCCUUUAAUGGUUACAGAGAUGCUAAAUAGGGGUGUAGAGAGAGCUGUUGUUCACAUCUUGUUCUACUACAUAAUAAGGCUUUCUUUGGAAAUAAUCUAAGCAAUAUUCUCACUUGAAGAUAGGCCCAUCGGUGCUUUGUUCAUGUAUAGUCCAUAAUAGAAGAUGUGAAGACUUUGAUGGCCAUGUCAAAUAGGCACCUUCUCUUUCCUAGAUUCAAGGGACUCAAUUUCGCAUAUAAAGAUCAAGACUAAGAGUGAAUACUAGACUUUGUUCGGUUGUAAUGCCAAUUUGAGGUAACAAAGGUGUAUCUAUCUGUUGAUCGACUUGUAAAAAUGUCAUAAGACAACUGGAAUUGUUUGUUUGUGCAUAAUACAUGUGAAAAUUCAAAUUGGCAAGACAAGAAAGAUAAGAAUGUUAAGAUGGAUGUGUAAAGUUACUAGGAAAGAUAAGAAAAAAAAAAAAUUUAUUUGUAAACAAUUAGACAUCGUUUUAAUAGAAGAAAAAAUAAGAAAAAAAUCAUUUAAGAUGGUAUGAGCACGUACUUAGGAGAUCUCUGGAUAUGAUAGUCAAAAAAGGUAAAAUAAUUAAUGUUAGUAAUACGAGGAAAGAUAGAGUAAAACCUAAAGAGAUCUUGAUAGAUACUACAUAAAAAAAUUUAAAUGCUCUAAAUUUAACUAAAUAUAUGACUUUUUAUGGAUCUCAAUGGCGACAAAAGAUCCAUAUAGCCGAUCCUAAAUAGUUGAGACGUAUGGCUUUGUUGCUAUUGCUGUAUUGUAUAUCUUAAUGUUGUUCUUUAAUUUUUUACUUUUUCAGGUCAAAUUGUUUACAAGAAAUUGAAAGAAAGAUCAGACCAGUUUGUCGCUAGAGGCUUAGUUAGGACAGCAGAAAGCAAAGAAAAAAUUGGAGGUGCUGAUGAUGUAUUUGUGGGUGACAUAAGGAAUGCUGAAAGUAUCAUUCCUGCUGUUCAAGGUAUUCAUGCACUCAUCAUUCUUACCAGUGCUGUGCCAAAGAUGAAGCCAGGAUUUGACCCAAGUAAAGGUGAACGACCUGAGUUUUAUUUUGAAGAUGGAUCAUAUCCUGAGCAGGUAUGUUUAAAAGUUGAGUUGAUUCAUGGUGGAUCCAAGUUUCAUCUUUGCAACACUUUGUUCACGCUGUACAUCUGCUUAGGUCGAUUGGAUUGGUCAGAAGAAUCAAAUUGAUGCUGGUAACUCUUCUUUAUUCCUCUUCUAUGUAUUAUUCAGCUACUCGUGCAUUCAUGUUUUUGUGUAUCAAUCAAUAUAUGUGGCUAUAUCAUGUCUUUAUGAUACAUGUGCCUGCAUGAAACUACCCUUGUUGGUAUCACUCAAGUCAUUCAUUCAAUUCAUUCCAUCCAUGUUGUCUACAACUUCAAUAAAACAUUGUUAGUUUUUCUCGCCCGUGUGCCACAUCCUUGUUCUUAAGAAAAAUAGUGUUAAAAGUUGUGGAAAACUUGGCUCUGGAGAAUCACUCAUAUAUUUACUAUUAUUGAUUUUAUUCCAUGUUUUAAGACACCAGUCAGUACACACUGUACAACAGAUUGUUGGAACCGAUAACGGACCGAUACAUAAAAUCCUAGUCUGCCUUAGUGGUUUUUAUUUAUUGUGUAUCUAAAUCUUUGCUUCUUAUACAGCUAGAGCUGUUGGUGUCAAGCAGAUUGUUUUGGUUGGUUCUAUGGGUGGAACAGAUAUCAAUCACCCGUUGAACAACAUUGGGAAUGGGAAGAUACUGGUAAGUAGUUCUAUUUGCUGAUUGUAGUCCUUUAAUGUACUUGAUCUUGUGUAUAUUUUCUUUUUUGCACAUUCCCAUGACUCUGGAGUAUCUAUUUCAAUCAUGACAUUUGACUAGCAUGUUUCUUUAUGAAAAGUUUUAUUCCUUGUCUAUGAAUGAUUGCAGUGGUAAACCAUGCAUAAAAAAAUAUUUUUUCAGUAUUGAAGAACAAGAUUGAUAUAGUUGAUAACAUUGUGUUAUCAGGCUAACUACCGCCAUUUAUGCUUUUAGAUCCAAGGAGAUGGACAGUUAACAUCAAAUGGUCAGGAAGUGAUUUGUAUGUAGGAUAAUCACCACUUGUGGCAUCAAAUUAACAAUCUAACACCAAUUAUUACAGGUUGAAACAAUAACUUUAGUGCUACGUCCAUUACGAACAACUCAACUGUCCUUCCUGUUAAGUGAACUAUGAUGUUCCUUCAAUCAGACAUUUUAUACUGAUAUCAACUUGCUAAUAUUUCUCAAAGCCUCUUGCAGAUACAAUAGACUUAUGCCUUUCUGUCCGGGGAUGUCUGCUAAAAGCUUUGCUUUGCUGCAGCUUCUUGUGAUUGACAAUUACUGACUUUCAUCACACUAAUCUUUUCCUUAACUCGUGAAAAUUAGGGCUUAUUACAGUAUAAUUUGUCAGGGAGAAAAGCCUACCAAGUAUGUUGUUUCCAUGCCUAUCAUAUAUCUGAAUAGGAAGAAUGAGGGUUUUUUUUUGGGGUCUUUGAUAAUUUAGUUGCUCUAGAUAUUUGAUCACCAAACUUGUUCUUAUUAUCCUUGUCUUGCAUGCUACAAAGUUAGUGCACAUCAUUUGUACAUAAGCCAUGUGGAUUAGAAGGAAUGUUAGAUGAGCGUAAAAAUAAUGUUGACAAGCUUGAACAAAUAAUUUCUUAUGAUUUUGCAGAUCUGGAAAAGGAAAGCUGAACAGUAUUUAGCAGACUCUGGAAUACCAUACACAAUCAUAAGGUACAGUUUUCGGAACUUACACCACACAACACAUUCAAGUUUCUUGCAGCUAUGUUUCAAUGGAUCAAUCAGUACACCUAUUUGGCUUUACUGUUUUAUGUUCCUCCUUCCUUCCAAAUGGCUUAGAAGACAUGUGGGCAACAGGAAUCCCUGCUUUUUAGGAUACAAAUGCUGAAUUCCUUCUCAUUAUUUUCAGAACAUAAAUUCUGCAUUUGGACUAACGAAUGUUGUACAGAUAGUAUAUGAUAUUUUUGCUCUAAUGCAAAAAAAUAGAGCGACAUAUACGUGGAAAUACUUCAACCUAGGAAUAGAGAUAGUACAUUAGUUCUUAACACUCUAAAUGGAAGAUCGCUCACUAGCACUGAGAGUGUAAUACAAGUAAAUGUUUGGGCAAACCAAAAGAUUAUACCUCAUAGAGAUGUCCAGAUUCUACAGGUCAUGAAGUUUUAUGGGACAUGAAGAGAAAUAUUUUAGACACAUGUAGCAAUUUAUAUUCUUGAGUUAUUAAACAAUUAACUAUUGGAUUAUAGAGACUCAAUAGCGAAUAAAUGGCAACUUUUUCGUUGUUGCCUUGCAAGGCCUUGAUGGAACUAUCCUCUUCCUUGGAUCAUCUGACAUGGUCUGUGGCCUACUCGAGGAAACAAACACCUGUUGAUCAAAUGUAUCUCGUCUGAAACAGGGCAGGAGGCUUACAGGAUAAAGAUGGGGGCGUGCGAGAAUUACUUGUAGGCAAGGAUGACGAGCUUCUCAAGACGGAAACUAGAACAAUUGCUAGGCCUGAUGUUGCAGAGGUUUGCAUCCAGGUACGAAACCUUCAUUCUCUUGCAAUCGUGUUGGUUAGCUAGAAACGCCAUGGAUCGUGUAGACUGUAAACUCUUGAGUGUAGAUGCUGUAAUAUUAAUCUACCUUAAGAACAUGAUGUGAGGUUUCUUCUAACUAAAAUCCCGUCUCCGUGUACAGGCUCUGCAGUUCGAGGAGGCCAAAUUCAAGGCAUUUGAUCUGGCAUCGAAACCAGAAGGCACGGGUACGCCGACAACUGAUUUCAAGGCACUGUUCUCCCAAGUCACCACUCGUUUCUGAUGUCCAUCAUCUGCAUAUUUGUUUUUUGGAUUUCGCGGAAGAUCUAAGGAACAGUUUUGUGUUGGCUUGAGUUCGUUUAGGACGUAUGAGGCGACAGCUCCACUGUUGUAUCUAUUCAUAUAAAACUUCAGUGCAUCUAUGUGUUCGCGUCAGUUAGCCACCGACAGAGGCAAAACUUACGUCUCUCACACAGGGCUCAUAUCAAGUGUACUCGGAGGAGAAAAGCCGUCACCGUGGCGGUGGUCCCCGGAGGUCUACGGAGGGGAUGAGGAGGAAGCAGUCAUCACGAGGGGAACGAAGACACCGAGCCAAAGAAGCACGGCUCCUCCGCUCCGGCCUCCCUCUCCGCCUCCGCCACGGCAGAUCGCCCUCUCUCUCUUUCUAAUCACAGCCCCGGAAUAAUUGAACACAAGAAGCUUUCUAUUCAGUUUCCUUUAGAAAUAAUAAAAUAAUAUUUUAUUAUUUACAAUCUAGAAAUAUAUAUUUUUUACUUAUUUUAUUUAUAAUUUUUUUAUUUUAUCCUAACUAUCAACGUCGCUCUCUAUCGAUGCAGUCGGCCUGGUUAUUUGCCAUCCCAAAAAUAAUAAAAUAUUUUUAUUUUUAUUAUUUAUAAUCUAAAAGAUAUUUUUUAUUUUUAUUUAUUUUUUAUUUUAUUCUCGUUAUCAUUUGUUUAUCCAUAAAGUCAUCAUCAACUAUUCACGUAAUAAUUUUUCAAUGCUUAUGACAUGCGUAGUCGAAGGUUACAUCAUUCAUUAUCUCUUUAAUUGUUAUUGGUGUUUAUUCGACCUAAUUCGACAUUAUGGAUGAAAGAAGAAAAAGAGGUAUCAUUCGACAUAAUUCGACAUUGUGGGUGAAGAAGAAAAAGAAGAAAGUAUUUAUAUUCAUUAGUAAAAAAAAAUUUAAAAAUAUUUUUUUAUAAAAAUUAAAAAUUAAAUUAUAAAUAGUAAAAGGGGAUUGUAAAUAGAAAACCAUAAAUGCCGUCGGCACUCGUAGGUAUUAAAAGUAGAACAAAAGUGUUAUGAGGAUUGCGUCAUUAUAUUGAUGGAUCGGGCGCAAGAAGAAGCUAACCGAAUCCACUACUUUAUAGACUUGGGAAAGUAUUAUAUGAUAUCCUCCCUCGAUCCCCUAUUGGCGGGAGCAUCAUUCACCGAGUGCGUCCUCUUUCUUUUCUCCCUCUGAUGGAUGCAUAGAGACGGCAGGUCAAGCUUAGCUCGCCUGCUCAACCCCCUCACCCACCACCGGUAGUGUUCUGUGCUCAUUGUUAUUGAACACAGCCUUUUUAUCUUUAAUGAACACACUUAGCACAUACCUUAUCAUAAUCACCAUGAGCUUUUUAUCUUUAAUAAAGACACUUAUCGCAUGCCUUAUCAUAAUCACCAUGAGCUUUUCCCUCUGGAAUGCACCAAGGCGGACGACCUUAUCCAACCACACACCAGUCCUGGAUUUCCAUAGUGGAUAUGAUUCUAGAAUGUGAAUCCAAGGUUUCCACGUCAAGGCUGCUUGUUCAUUUCGCCACGACUUUGAAAUGGAUACGCAAGAUUUUUGCAGAGAUUUCUUCGAUCGAAAUAAUACAAAUUAUACACCAUAAUAACCUUGACAACAAUGAUAGUAAUGAUGAGGAAUGAAGGCUCAUUCCGUCUGUCAUGUUCUUUCUAGCUUUAAGAGCUACCAAAAAUGAUCGAAAGCACUCAGCAAUGGACAUUCUCAUCCCUGUCUGUUAAUGGAGAAGGGUGCUUGUGACAGUGCCAAAAACACAAGUAACAAGAAAAGCUGUACAAAAACAACAGACUAGAUGUAUACAUGUUCACCACUAAACACACGACUUCUCUUCUUGUGUUCCCCAUUUAUAAGUCAAUCUAUGUAGAGAGGGGAAGCCGACGGCCUGGGAUAUGCAACCUUUCGGUUCCCAAUUUCUCCGGCACUUCUCCGUCGAGACCUGUGAGGAUUACUGUAACCACUUUGGCUGCUUGAAUUCUGUCCUGUCCGCAGGCUUUGGUCGGUAACUUCAGCAUUUUGAAGCUCCUCUAAUGCAGAAACCACCUGAGCCAUGGCCGGUCGGUGCCUUGCUUCCGUGGACAGGCACUGGAGCGCGAUGAAGGAAGCUUUCUGGGCUGUGGCCAGUGGAUACUGUGCUCCCAACCGGGUAUCCAAGACACGGAAAAUCUUCCGUUUGCUUGCAAGAAAAGGCCUCGCCCAUUCUACCAAAUUGUGCUCUCCGAUGGGGCGGUUCCUGUCCAAAGCACGGCGGCCAGACAACAGCUCCAGUAGAACAACUCCAAAGCUAUACACAUCGCUCUUGGUUGUCAAAUGACCUUAAAGAUGUACAAACAAUCUUAGUCAGACCAUCUGUCAUUUUUCGAUAUGCUAAAGAAAAUGCACAAACAAAACCUUGCCCAGUUGCCUGUUUACAGAUCUAGAAUAUCCAGAUGGAUGAAACUUGGAUAUGCUUAACCAAGUCACAAAAACUACCGACUCAGACACAAUAUUAACUAUGAAGAUUCACUUCUUCUUAACUAAUUCUGUAGCAUUUGUUACUCAUAUUCAAUUAUCAGAAUGUCAACAUUUAUGAAAGGAUUAAAAUGAUGCAUCACUAAUUUGUAAGUUAUCCAUCGUAGCCUUCCAGGAAAUUUGCAUAAUUGGCAGCGCAGAAGAUGUCAUGCGAUACAAGAAUAAAAAAUUAUUGUUAUUCCUUGGGCAGUGUUACGAUCUGAACUAGUUAUAAUUAAGAAUACUGUGUCCGUUAUAUUGGUCGCACAGCUAUUCAAUUUCUGCCAUUGCUUCUGUCAGUGUAUGCAACUCUGCCCCUGUAUGUUGUGACUAGUCUGAAGUGAGAUACUACAAACACUUUCAAAGAGAUAGAAAAUGGGGAACCAAGAGCAUAAAUCUCUUCAAGCGGAAAGGGUGCGAAGCACAUAAAUCCAUAUUCAACUGAAAUGUGAAGAAAAAAAAUGCAAAAAUUGUACCAUGGAUGUAAAAGCUUCAACAGUUUGGAGAUCAUCCCGACUAGGUAUCUUAAAGAGCAUUCAGCGAAUUGCAUGCUAAUAAACCAAAUGAGCAAGCAUGCAUAACAUGAGGUUGGAGGAAAACCAUAUAGAAUUUACCUACCUGUUGCAAGAUACUCAGGGGCAGCAUAUCCAUGCGUCCCCAUGACCCUCGUAGAAACAUGGCUCUUAUCACCAGUUGGACCAUCUUUUGCCAAUCCAAAAUCCGAAAGUUUUGCAUUGUAGUUCUGUAUGCAUGGCGACAAGAUUACUUCCCAGGUGAACAAAUACUGAUACAAAGGACCAGAACACACUAGAAGAUAACUUACUGAAUCCAGCAGCACGUUAGAGGCUUUAAAAUCACGAUAUAUGACUUUUGCCUUGUCGCUAUGCAGAAAGGCAAGACCUUUUGCAGCUCCUAGAGCAACCCUCAUACGGAUGUUCCAAGAGAGUGGUUGAACGGUUGAACUCCCUGCAUGGAUAUAGAUUCAGUAAAUCUUAAAGCUCAACAACAAUUUAAUGCUCAAAGAAAGAUGUAGUGAAAUGUCAAUAUGCUAAUGUACAAGGGACAUACUUCGAAAAAGAUGGUUCUCCAAGCUUCCACGUUGCAUGAAUUCAUACACAAGGAGCCGUUGUUCAUCCUCCAAGCAGUAUCCAAUUAGCCUCACAAGAUUAGGAUGGGAUAGUUGACCCAAAUAAUUAACCUCCGCCUACAAAAUCGUAGGGUAAUUGCUUAUCAAAAUGAACAGAAAUUACAAGUUGAUGUCAUAGUAGAGCCACCGACAAGCACACAAGCAAAAAACCAUAUGUCCAACUACAAGUCAAUCAUGCAUAAAAAUCCUUAUCAGGACUUCAGAUUCGAGGAAGCAAAACGUAAAGAAACAGACAAUAGAUUGAGAAGAAAAUGACACUAACCAACCAUUCCCUAUGACCUUGGUGUCCAUCCUGGUUGAGCUUCUUCACAGCGAUAACCAUACCAGUCCCGGGCUUGGUAGGUGCAAAGGUGUGUUCAU
rnacentral:lncRNA from 1 species